UGUCGUCAGCUCGUGCCGUGAGGUGUCGGCUUAAGUGCCAUAACGAGCGCAACCCUUGCCACUAGUUACUAACAGGUGAUGCUGAGGACUCUGGUGGGACUGCCAGCGUAAGCUGCGAGGAAGGCGGGGAUGACGUCAAAUCAGCACGGCCCUUACAUCCGGGGCGACACACGUGUUACAAUGGCGUGGACAAAGGGAGGCCACCUGGCGACAGGGAGCGAAUCCCCAAACCACGUCUCAGUUCGGAUCGGAGUCUGCAACCCGACUCCGUGAAGCUGGAUUCGCUAGUAAUCGCGCAUCAGCCAUGGCGCGGUGAAUACGUUCCCGGGCCUUGUACACACCGCCCGUCAAGCCAUGGGAGCCGGGGGUGCCUGAAGUCCGUAACCGAAAGGAUCGGCCUAGGGUAAAACUGGUGACUGGGGCUAAGUCGUAACAAGGUAGCCGUACCGGAAGGUGCGGCUGGAACACCUCCUUUCUGGAGCUU
rnacentral:rRNA from 1 species